rnacentral:tRNA from 1 species
AGACCCAUGGUGUAAUGGUAGCACUCCGGAUUUUGGUUCCGUCAGUCCAGGUUCGAGUCCUGGUGGGUCUGCAA